GUGAAACAUCUCAGUACCCUUAGGAAAAGAAAUCAAUUGAGAUUCCCUCAGUAGCGGCGAGCGAACGGGGAUCAGCCCAUUAAGUUAUGUGUGUUUUAGUGGAACGCUCUGGGAAGUGCGAACGUAGAGGGUGAUAUUCCCGUACACGAAAGGGCACACAUAAUGAUGACGAGUAGGGCGAGGCACGUGAAACCUUGUCUGAAUAUGGGGGGACCAUCCUCCAAGGCUAAAUACUCCUGACUGACCGAUAGUGAACCAGUACCGUGAGGGAAAGGCGAAAAGAACCCCUGUGAGGGGAGUGAAAUAGAUCCUGAAACCGCAUGCAUACAAGCAGUGGGAGCACCUUCGUGGUGUGACUGCGUACCUUUUGUAUAAUGGGUCAGCGACUUAUAUUCAGUAGCGAGGUUAACCGUAUAGGGGAGCCGUAGAGAAAUCGAGUCUUAAUAGGGCGUUUAGUUGCUGGGUAUAGACCCGAAACCAGGCGAUCUAUCCAUGAGCAGGUUGAAGGUUGGGUAACACUAACUGGAGGACCGAACCCACUGUCGUUGAAAAGCCAGGGGAUGACUUGUGGAUAGGGGUGAAAGGCUAAUCAAGCCUGGUGAUAGCUGGUUCUCCCCGAAAGCUAUUUAGGUAGCGCCUCGGACGAAUACCAUAGGGGGUAGAGCACUGUUUCGGCUAGGGGGUCAUCCCGACUUACCAAACCGAUGCAAACUCCGAAUACCUAUGAGUACUAUCCGGGAGACAGACUGCGGGUGCUAACGUCCGUAGUCAAGAGGAAAACAAUCCAGACCGCCAGCUAAGGCCCCAAAAUCAUAGUUAAGUGGGAAACGAUGUGGGAAGGCAUAGACAGCUAGGAGGUUGGCUUAGAAGCAGCCACCCUUUAAAGAAAGCGUAAUAGCUCACUAGUCGAGUCGGCCUGCGCGGAAGAUGUAACGGGGCUAAAACUAUGUGCCGAAGCUGCGGAUGUAUACUUUGUAUACGUGGUAGGGGAGCGUUCUGUAAGCCGAUGAAGGUGUGUUGAGAAGCAUGCUGGAGGUAUCAGAAGUGCGAAUGCUGACGUGAGUAACGACAAAACGGGUGAAAAACCCGUUCGCCGAAAGACCAAGGGUUCCAGUCCAACGUUAAUCGGGGCUGGGUGAGUCGACCCCUAAGGCGAGGCCGAAAGGCGUAGUCGAUGGGAAAAUGGUUAAUAUUCCAUUACUUCUGUGUAAUGCGAUGAGAGGACGGAGAAGGCUAAAUCAGCCUGGCGUUGGUUGUCCAGGUGAAAGGAUGUAGGCAUGUAUCUUAGGCAAAUCCGGGGUACUCUAUGCUGAGAUCUGAUAGCAAGCUGUACUUGUACAGCGAAGUGGUUGAUGCCAUGCUUCCAGGAAAAGUCUCUAAGCUUCAGUUACACAGGAAUCGUACCCGAAACCGACACAGGUGGUCAGGUCGAGUAGACCAAGGCGCUUGAGAGAACUCUGCUGAAGGAACUAGGCAAAAUGGUACCGUAACUUCGGGAGAAGGUACGCUGUUGUUGGUGAUGGAACUCGCUUCCUGAGCUGACGACAGCCGCAGAAACCAGGCCGCUGCAACUGUUUAUUAAAAACAUAGCACUCUGCAAACACGAAAGUGGACGUAUAGGGUGUGAUGCCUGCCCGGUGCUGGAAGGUUAAUUGAUGGGGUUAGCGUAAGCGAAGCUCUUGAUCGAAGCCCCAGUAAACGGCGGCCGUAACUAUAACGGUCCUAAGGUAGCGAAAUUCCUUGUCGGGUAAGUUCCGACCUGCACGAAUGGCAUAAUGAUGGCGGCGCUGUCUCCAGCAGAGGCUCAGUGAAAUCGAAAUCGCUGUGAAGAUGCAGUGUACCCGCGGCUAGACGGAAAGACCCCGUGAACCUUUACUGCAGCUUGACACUGAACUUUGACCUUACUUGUGUAGGAUAGGUGGGAGGCUUUGAAGCUGGAACGCUAGUUCCAGUGGAGCCGUCCUUGAAAUACCACCCUGGUAAUGUUGAGGUUCUAACUCUGUCCCGUGAUCCGGGACGAGGACCGUGUCUGGUGGGUAGUUUGACUGGGGCGGUCUCCUCCUAAAGAGUAACGGAGGAGUACGAAGGUGCGCUCAGCGUGGUCGGAAAUCACGCGUAGAGUAUAAAGGCAAAAGCGCGCUUAACUGCGAGACCCACAAGUCGAGCAGGUACGAAAGUAGGUCUUAGUGAUCCGGUGGUUCUGUAUGGAAGGGCCAUCGCUCAACGGAUAAAAGGUACUCUGGGGAUAACAGGCUGAUACCGCCCAAGAGUUCAUAUCGACGGCGGUGUUUGGCACCUCGAUGUCGGCUCAUCUCAUCCUGGGGCUGAAGCAGGUCCCAAGGGUAUGGCUGUUCGCCAUUUAAAGAGGUACGCGAGCUGGGUUUAGAACGUCGUGAGACAGUUCGGUCCCUAUCUACCGUGGGCGCUGGAAAUUUGAGAGGAUCUGCUCCUAGUACGAGAGGACCAGAGUGGACGAACCUCUGGUGUACCGGUUGUGACGCCAGUCGCAUCGCCGGGUAGCUAUGUUCGGAAGGGAUAACCGCUGAAAGCAUCUAAGCGGGAAGCCUACCUCAAGAUAAGAUUUCCCUAGGACUUUAUGUCCUCUAAAGAGCCGUUCGAGACUAGGACGUUGAUAGGUUGGAUGUGGAAGCAUAGUGAUAUGUGAAGCUGACCAAUACUAAUUGCUCGUGAGGCUUGACUAU
rnacentral:rRNA from 1 species